CCUACGGGAGGCAGCAGUCGAGAAUCAUUCACAAUGGGGGAAACCCUGAUGGUGCGACGCCGCGUGGGGGAAUGAAGGUCUUCGGAUUGUAAACCUCUGUCAUGUGGGAGCAAAUUAAAAAGAUAGUACCACAAGAGGAAGAGACGGCUAACUCUGUGCCAGCAGCCGCGGUAACACAGAGGUCUCAAGCGUUGUUCGGACUCACGGGGCGUAAAGCGUGCGUAGGCUGUUUCGUAAGUCGUGUGUGAAAGGCGCGGGCUCAACCCGCGGACGGCACAUGAUACUGCGAGACUUGAGUAAGGGAGAGGGAACCGGAAUGCUCGGUGUAGCAGUGAAAUGCAUAGAUAUCGAGAGGAACACUCGUGGCGAAGGCAGGUUCCUGGACAUUAACUGACGCUGAGGCACGAAGGCCAGGGGAGCGAAAGGGAUUAGAUACCCGUGUAGUC
rnacentral:rRNA from 1 species